CUAGAAGUAAGUACAGGCUCAAAAAGAACUUAAUGGAGAACACUUGGUUGAAACUCAGUGCUUCCUAUUGCAAUCCUUCCACAGAAUGUCUUCAACAGACUGGAUUCUGUUCAGAAUCAGGAAAGAUGCAUUUCACAAUUUGGGUUCUAUAAUGUUGCUAUUUCUUCAAAAUUAGAAAUGAAGACCAAUCAUGAUAUGAAAAGAUCUGCAGAACAGUUGGAUUCUGAACACAAAGAAAAGAAAGUGUCUGACAUUACUAAUCACAAAAUUCAGCUUCUGGCUAAGCCAAGGCACACUGUCAAGAUGAAGUGCUGCAUAAUUUUAAAAAUAGUUUGGCC